GACGGAGGAGGCUAGCGUUGUUCGGAAUUACUGGGCGUAAAGCGCGCGCGGGCGGUUAUGCAAGUCAGGGGUGAAAGCCCGAGGCUCAACCUCGGAACGGCCUUUGCGACUGCAUGACUGGAGACCGGGAGAGGAGAGUGGAAUUCCCAGUGUAGAGGUGAAAUUCGUAGAUAUUGGGAAGAACACCAGUGGCGAAGGCGGCUCUCUGGCCCGGACCUGACGCUGAGGCGCGAAAGCAUGGGGAGCGAACGGG
rnacentral:rRNA from 1 species